AACAGGUUAAGAAGAAGACAAAAACCGUUGUGGAGAAGUAUUGGGACUGGGAACUUACAAAUGAAACACAACCUAUUUGGCUUCGGACUCCUAAGGAGGUAUCAACUGAGGAGUACAAUGAAUUUUACAAGAAGACCUUCAAUGAGUAUUUGGAUCCCUUGGCUUCCUCACACUUCACUACAGAGGGUGAAGUAGAAUUCAGGUCAAUUCUGUAUGUGCGUGCUACAAAGAAAGAGGACAUAACUGAUAGGAAGACUAAAAAUAUCAGGCUUUAUGUCAAGCGCGUGUUCAUAUCAGACGACUUCGAUGGAGAACUUUUCCCAAGUUACCUGAGCUUUGUGAAGGGUA